rnacentral:rRNA from 1 species
UACGUAGGGGGCAAGCGUUGUCCGGAAUCAUUGGGCGUAAAGAGCGCGUAGGCGGCCCUGUAAGUCCGACUGUGAAAGUCAAGGGCUCAACCCUUGGAUGCCGGUGGAUACUGCAGGGCUAGAGUCCGGAAGAGGCGAGUGGAAUUCCUGGUGUAGCGGUGAAAUGCGCAGAUAUCAAGGAGGAACACCCGUGGCUAAGGCGGCUCUCUAGUACGGUACUGACGCUGAGACGCGAAAGCGUGGGGAGCGAACAGGAUUAG